GGGGAUGUGGUCUAGUGGAUAUGAUUUUCCCUUAGCAUUUGUAGCUAGUCAUGGGAAAGGUCCUGAGUUCGAUUCUUAGCUUCUCCA